rfam:Eutrema salsugineum unplaced genomic scaffold scaffold_21, whole genome shotgun sequence.
AAGCCGUGGUGUGGGCAUGGGUUAGUGUAGCUUCUAAACCGUUCCCAAGCUUCACUAAAGCUCUCGUUAUUGUGCUGCGUGAAACUUGAGAUCUGAUUCCUGAGCUU